AUCAGGUUUACUUGACUUCACAACACGUGAAUCAACACUGACCGGUUUCUAAACACUUCAGAAUAGAAUCAUAAUGAUCUCUCUCUAACACAACUUUUUCUUUCUUCAAAAUCUCAACUCGCUUGAACACUCAGCAUCACCUUUUAAACUCCCAUUCGGUGAUCAGAUCUUCUUGUUAAAGAUAAUCUCAAAUCUUCAACUCAAAUCCUAGAAUCCCUCGAUUUGAUGUUUAUCCUCGAAAGUGAUAAGUCUUCAUUUGUCACGUCAUCUCCUAGGUUUGAAUGACUCCCGCUAAACAUUCAGACUUGAUCAGCAUUGUUUGGUGAAUUUCAAGUCUCAACAAUCUCGCCCUUUUUGAGUGUCUAUGAUCAUCAAAUACAUGAGAACACGAUGUAAAGUACUACCAAUCCUCACACACACAUUAGUACUAAUUAGUCACUGAAUUUCAUAGCAUUAAGUCCAAAGAUCGUUUUAAUACAAAGCCGCAAGUGACUAAACACUGCACACAAUGUAGAAAGUAGGAAAAAUAUAACCAACCGUCCUAUCCAUCACACCUAAAUAAAAAUAUCUCCCCUGGAUACAUGCUCAGCCUAAAUCCAACAAAAGGAAGG
rnacentral:lncRNA from 1 species